UACGAGGGGGGCGAGCGUUGUUCGGAAUUAUUGGGCGUAAAGGGUGCGUAGGCGGUUCCGCAAGUCCUGUGUGAAAUCUUCGGGCUCAACUCGAAGUCUGCACGGGAAACUGCGGGGCUUGAGUGUGGGAGAGGUGAGUGGAAUUCCCGGUGUAGCGGUGAAAUGCGUAGAUAGUCGGGAGGAACACCUGUGGCGAAAGCGGCUCACUGGACCAUAACUGACGCUGAUGCACGAAAGCUGGGGGAGCAACCAGG
rnacentral:rRNA from 1 species